CGGGGGGAGCAAGCGUUGUUCGGAUUUACUGGGCGUAAAGGGCGCGUAGGCGGCCACCGCAAGUCGACCGUGAAAUCUCCGGGCUUAACCCGGAAAGGUCAGCCGAUACUGCGGGGCUAGAGUGCAGAAGGGGCAACUGGAAUUCUCGGUGUAGCGGUGAAAUGCGUAGAUAUCGAGAGGAACACCUGCGGCGAAGGCGGGUUGCUGGGCUGACACUGACGCUGAGGCGCGAAAGCUAGGGGAGCGAACGGGAUUAGGUACCCCGGUAGUCCUAGCCUUAAACGAUGAAUGCUUGGUGUCUGGGGUUUUAUAGUCCCCGGGUGCCGUCGCUAACGCUUUAAGCAUUCCGCCUGGGGAGUACGGUCGCAAGACUG
rnacentral:rRNA from 1 species